rnacentral:misc_RNA from 1 species
GAUGAAGAACGCAGCGAAAUGCGAUAAGUAAUGUGAAUUGCAGAAUUCAGUGAAUCAUCGAAUCUUUGAACGCGCAUUGCGGCCGCCAGUAUUCUGGCGGGCAUGCCUGUUCGAGCGUCAUUACAACCCUCAGGCCCCCGGGCCUGGCGUUGGGGAUCGGCGGAAGCCCCCUGCGGGCACAACGCCGUCCCCCAAAUACAGUGGCGGUCCCGCCGCAGCUUCCAUUGCGUAGUAGCUAACACCUCGCCACUGGAGAGCGGCGCGGCCACGCCGUAAAACACCCAACUUCUGAAUGUUGACCUCGAAUCAGGUAGGAAUACCCGCUGAACUUAAGCAUAUCAAUAAGCGGAGGA